UUAUAAUUAAUAUAUUUUGAAUAUUAAUAAUUAUAUUACGACAGUAAAUAUACAUAUUCAUCCUACCAAACCCUAAAUUUAUCCUCAUUCAUUCAUUUCAUUUUCUCUUUCUAUAUCUAACAUUCAAUGGGUUUCGUUCCUCUCAUAUUCUCUCUAUUCCUCUUCUCUCUUCCCCCUCUCUCAUACCUCUAUACCUUCUUUCAAAUCUCACAGUCGAUGGAAGAUGGCCGCCGAAAGAUCUUGGUUGAACAAAAUUUACAGUGACGGUCACCCUACUGUUCGGCGCUGCAUCACAGCGUGUGAGGUACCUCAAUUUCAGUAGGCACUACAUCACUGCGAACCUUAACAGGUGGUGAUCGUGGCAGCGAUAGCGAUUCGAAGAAAUCGAUGUACGACUAUGGGGAAGAUGGUUCGGCGGCUACAAAUGAUGAUUUUAUGUGGAUCUAGGGCAAAUGUGGUGGUAGUGGUUUUGAUUUUAGAUUUGAUAUCGAUGUGUAUAGGUUGUGUUGGCGGCGGUGUUAAUGGUUGUGUAGGUUUUGGAUUGGUGGAGGCUCCAUUGAAUCAACCAAGUGGUGCAAACGGGUGCUAUUGUAGUAGUGGUGUUGUGUGCAGUGCGAUGGUGGUGUUGUGUGCAGUGUAGUGAUUAGGUGGUGGUGGGGCUGUGAGUACGGUGUGUUGUGUGCGGUGCAGUGGUUAGGUGGUGGUGGGGCUGUGAGUACGGUGUGUUGUAUGCGGUGCAGUGGUUAGGUAGUGGCGGUGUUGUGGUGCGGUGUGUUGUGAGAUGGUGAUGUCGACGUGGUGGUGGCUCUAGUAGUUUAGUGAUGCCGAUCGAUUGUCCUACGAUGGUGGGUAUGGCUCUGCGAUGGUGGUGUUGACGAUGGUGUGGUGGUGGCUCUAGUUGUCGCCAUUUUCGCUGUUGUGGUAAUGAAUCGUUGGUGUGUUGUGGUGUUGACAUGUUGUUAUGAGGUGGUGGUGGCUUUGUUGGCGGCGGUGCUCCGUUCUUAUGGUGGCAAAGAUGGUGAUAGUGAUGGUAGAUGUGGCGGUCGCGGGGUGGGAGGAAAUGGGGUUGUAUGUUUGUGACCAAUUAUUUGAUUGAUCGUGACUAACAAUUGAUGAAUUUGUAAUAUGUGACCUAAAAAUUGUGACUGUAAUUCGCAAUUGAUUAAGCUGUGAAUGAACAAUUAAUUGUAACCAAUUAAUCUAUUAAUUUGUAAUGAAUAAAUAAGUUGUGACCAAUAAAAGUUUUGAUUCUAUGACCAAUGAAAAUCUGUGACCUACAAUUUUUUUUUAUCGUGACUGAAAAAUAACAUGUGACCUACAAAAUUUUUUAUCGUGACUAAAAAAUAACAUGUGACCUAUAAAAUUUUUCAUUUGUGACCGAAAAAUAAGUUGUGACUAAUUAAUUUUUGAUUUAUGAUCGAUGAACAAAUUGUGACCUGUACAAUUUUUGAAUUGUGAUCGUAUAAUAAUUUAUGACAUAAAAUUUCUAAUUUGUGACCAAAAAUCAAUAAGUAACUAACUAAAUCGUUAAUUUAUGACCAAAUUUUACAGAUCUAUGACC
rnacentral:lncRNA from 1 species